rnacentral:rRNA from 1 species
AUUGAACGCUGGCGGCAGGCUUAACACAUGCAAGUCGAGCGGAGAUGAGGUGCUUGCACCUUAUCUUAGCGGCGGACGGGUGAGUAAUGCUUAGGAAUCUGCCUAUUAGUGGGGGACAACAUUCCGAAAGGAAUGCUAAUACCGCAUACGUCCUACGGGAGAAAGCAGGGGAUCUUCGGACCUUGCGCUAAUAGAUGAGCCUAAGUCGGAUUAGCUAGUUGGUGUGGUAAAGGCCUACCAAGGCGACGAUCUGUAGCGGGUCUGAGAGGAUGAUCCGCCACACUGGGACUGGGACACGGCCCAGACUCCUACGGGAGGCAGCAGUGGGGAAUAUUGGACAAUGGGGGGAACCCUGAUCCAGCCAUGCCGCGUGUGUGAAGAAGGCCUUAUGGUUGUAAAGCACUUUAAGCGAGGAGGAGGCUACUGAGACUAAUACUCUUGGAUAGUGGACGUUACUCGCAGAAUAAGCACCGGCUAACUCUGUGCCAGCCGCCGCGGUAACAC